rnacentral:rRNA from 1 species
GACGAACGCUGGCGGCGUGCCUAACACAUGCAAGACGAACGGAACUGUUUUGACAGAUUUCUUCGGAAUGAAUUUGAUUUCGUUUAGUGGCGGACGGGUGAGUAACGCGUGAGUAACCUGCCUUCAAGAGGGGAAUAACAUUCUGAAAAGAAUGCUAAUACCGCAUGACAUAUCGGAACCACAUGGUUUUGAUAUCAAAGAUUUUAUCGCUUGAAGAUGGACUCGCGUCCGAUUAGUUAGUUGGUGAGGUAACGGCUCACCAAGACCGCGAUCGGUAGCCGGACUGAGAGGGUGAACGGCCACAUUGGGACUGAGACACGGCCCAGACUCCUACGGGAGGCAGCAGUGGGGGAUAUUGCGCAAUGGGGGCAACCCUGACGCAGCAACGCCGCGUGAAGGAUGAAGGUUUUCGGAUUGUAAACUUCUUUUAUUAAGGACGAAAAAUGACGGUACUUAAUGAAUAAGCUCCGGCUAACUACGUG